CAACUUUCAGCAACGGAUCUCUUGGCUCUCGCAUCGAUGAAGAGCGCAGSGAAUUGCGAUAAGUAAUGUGAAUUGCAGAUUUUCAGUGAAUCAUCGAAUCUUUGARCGCACCUUGCGCUCCUUGGUAUUCCGAGGAGCAUGCCUGUUUGAGUGUCAUCGA
rnacentral:rRNA from 1 species